GGAAUAUUGGACAAUGGGCGCAAGCCUGAUCCAGCCAUGCCGCGUGUGUGAAGAAGGCCUUCGGGUUGUAAAGCACUUUUGUUGGGGAAGAAAAGCCCGGGGUUAAUAACACUGGUUCAUGACGGUACACAAAGAAUAAGAACCGGCUAACUUCGUGCCAGCAGCCGCGGUAAUACGACGGGUGAAAGCGUUACUCGGCAUUACUGGGCGUAAAGCGUGCGUAGGCGUUUUGUUAAGUCUGUCGUGAAAGCCCCGGGCUCAACCUGGGAAUGGCGGUGGAUACUGGCAGGCUAGAGGACGGUAGAGGAUGGUGGAAUUCCCGGUGUAGCAGUGAAAUGCGUAGAGAUCGGGAGGAACAUCUAUGGCGAAGGCAGCCAUCUGGACCAGUACUGACGCUGAGGCACGAAAGCGUGGGGAGCAAAC
rnacentral:rRNA from 1 species